CCUGAAGAACCUAUAAAAAGGACAGAUUGCUUUUCAGGGAGACAAAGGACCAUUAGAGUCCUGAGGGGAAAGGGUCUCUUCUUUGGCUUUGCUCUGGAAUGUUUCACCUGCAGUCUUCUUUUUCAACCGUCUGCAACAAGGAACAGACAGGGGCAUAGAAAUGCCCUCAUGGGCCUCCCGGAAACUGUGGGAUACCAGCUGCCUGGACAUCCAUGAGUCCCAUCUGACCAUCACAAAAUUAACCAUCGCAUCUCAACAUUAAUGCAGCAGACCCUCAAUUUGCCUCUUUGAGGAAGGAAUGGAUAUCUGAUGACUGAGCAGCAAACACACUGAUGAAAUGACGAGCUGGUUGAAGUCUCAGCGGGCUGUGCUCAGUUUCCUCUCUGUUCCUUCCAUGGCAUAUAUUUUGCCUCUGUGUAUUUUGCAGCUCAUCUUCUGACACUGUGGGAAGAGACGAGGUGUGUGAGGGGCUCAGGAAGUGGACAACCAAUGUAGGAAAAGAAGAAGCCACUGCAAAAGCACAGAGGAGUGGACGCUGUGGUCCGCCCAGCAUCCCUUAUGCAGCAAGCCCCAUCCUCACGGAGGCGCUGAGUGCAGAGGGAGGGAACUGCCUUCCUGUGUGUCCUGUGGCUUCCCUGGGCUCAGAGUGAGCGGCUUCCCUGGGCUCAGAGUGAGCGAGCCAUGGAGCCCAGGGGAGAGCGAAGGGCAGGCAGGGGGCAGCCUGCCAGAUUCCUGCAGGAAGCAGUGGGUGCUGGGACGCCAUGCGUGGGCAACCCGGGUAAUUCCCACAUGGGAUCUGUUGUCAGAGAGCUUUUCAAACACAUUAGGAGGAUCUGACAUAGAAUUUGAAGCUUUCCCAACACCUCGACCCAGAAAACCAUAAAUAAAUCAAAUUACAAAACCAAAGCGCAAUUCGGAGGAGUUCCAAGUGCUAAUGCCUUUUUCCGUGAAUGCUGCAGAAAGAAAAGUGUGUGAUAAACUGUAUCCUUCCAGUGCUCUCCUCCGGGACUUUCUCCCCACAUGCUUUCAUGUAGGAAACCACAUGAGUGAAAAGCUCGGUCUCAGGGCCUCCUGCUCACCUUGGGACCAGGUCUGGGAGAGCCGCAGGUGGCCACGGGCAGGGCUGAGUGCAUUUCCCGACCGGACACUGUGUGGCCAGGAAGGCUCUGCUUGUCCCCUUCUCUCUCAGGGACCUCUCAAUUGUAUGAAUCUCCCUGCAGCAAUUGUUUCUUGGGUUAAGCUAGGUCCCCAGAAGUUCAGGUUAAAUUACGAACACAUUAGUAGGCACAAACAGCAUGUACAUCCAAUUGCAAGUAGAAAGACCUGAAUGCAAAUUUUCAUAAAUUGUGAUAGAUAGACUAUUAUUUCUGAGAGCUACUGUACAAACAAAGGGGUCUGUAACCAGAUAAGCUCAACAAAUCCUGGAUUAAACAGAAAUAAAAUUUC